rnacentral:sRNA from 1 species
AUGAAAAGAGUCAGACUGACAGUCUUAAUCUUAUUCACAGAACUGUUGUAUCACAAGCAAGGCAGGGCAAGCUUCCACCAAUGUGCCUCAAUCCUGAACUAAAGGGACCUCCACUAGUGAGAGGUAGUAUGGCCUCCAUUCUUAUUCAAUCCUUGAUCUCU